CUGUUCUCCUGGUAGUGAAUAAGUCUCAUGAGAUCUGAUGGGUUUAUCAGGGGUUUAUGCUUUUGCAUCUUCCUCAUUUUCUCUUGCUGCCACUAUAUAAGAAGUGCCGUUCACCUCCUACCAUGAUUCUGAAGCCUCCCCAACCACGAGGACCUGUAAGUCCAAUUCAACCUCGUUUUCUUCCCAGUCUUGGGUAUGUCUUUAUCAGUAACAUGAAAACCAACU